AGGUCACGUGACUCAGCCAAGUUUUCUUUCUUCUUUCUUCCACGUUGUUUCAGUUGUUGUGAUCAGUGACACUGGUGUGAACCAGAGCAGAUCGCAUCGUAUUAUCUGACCUCCAGACAUGUUUAUUACUUGUUUUAUUUGACCAGCCUACAUUGCAUGGUGAUGCAUAUAUCUGUAAAACACAACAAUGGUGUGGUUUCUGGAAGGUCUGUGCUUCAUGCCAACAUUUCUGGUUAUUUGGUCCUCCAUCACAUUUAUCCUGAAUUAUCUCAUUGCACUUGGCCGUGGGGACGUGGAUUUGAUCUUCCCAUACAUCAGUGAUACGGGAGUGGCCCCUCCGGAGAGAUGCAUAUUUGGCCUCAUGGCAACAAUUUCAGCUUUUGCAGGGUUUGCCACCAUGUUUGCCAGAUAUAAAUUUGUGCAGAAGCUGAUUGAAGGAAGAGUUGCCAUGUCUCCGUGUCUGAACAAAGCUGCUUUCGUCUUGGCUACGCUCUCUUGUAUAGGGAUGUGUUUUGUGGCAACAUUUCAGGAGACAGAGAUGAGGACUGUUCAUGAUAUCGGAGCUUUAUUGUUCUUCGUUUGUGGAAUGAUUUACAUCAUCCUACAGACCAUCAUCUCGUACAAGGUUUAUCCUUACGGAUCUUCAAAGUGCACGUGUCACGUCCGUGCCAUCUUUUCCGCGGUGGCUUUACUGACAGUGGCUAUAACUAUUAUUUCUGCCUCGUUUCUGAAGACCCAAUUUCACUGGACCCCAGAAGACCAGGUGUCCUCUCAUCACUUCAUCACAAUCUCACAGAUCGUCUUAAAUUACUGAGAAACACAGCGGCAAAUCAAACAUGGCUACAAGCUACAUGUCGUGAGCGCUGCGUGUGAGUGGAUAGCUGCCUUCACUUUCGUCUUCUUCUUCUACACCUACAUCCAGGAGUUCAAGCAGUUCACCGUGCGAGUGGACGCCCAGUUACUAGAGUUUACAUGAGUCCGUUCCAAAGGUCGCUGUGAGUUUGAUUGCACAGUGGGAGGAGUUGUUUUUAUACAAGAAAUCAAACUGUUGAAUGAUUUUUUUAUCAUAUCAAGUAAUUUUUUUUUAUUUUUGUACACUGUUUAUAGUAUUAUUUAAUCACACAGGCCUGGAAUACUCAAUUGAACUCAUUCCAAUCAGUGAUCUGUAAUGAUACAAUGCACUUUAAUCCACGUUGCUGUAAUUUAUCCACUAUGAACACUGAUCCAGCAAUAAAAAGGAUGCAGUUACACAAUAA